CCGGAAUAGAAUAAGAAGAACAGUACUGGUACCUACGGAAAAGAAUGUAAGCCGCCCCCCCCAUCCCCCUGGAGCCCUCCUUGCAUUGCGCUGCCGUUGCGAAAGCAGCGAGAGCCGAAAUGGGAAUUGAAACUCUUGACCAUCCCCCUCCUCUCCCGACCUAAAUCCCAUAGAGGACGCAUGGUAUCUCCUAAAUUCAAAGGUCGUGGCUUUCCCCAGAGUCGUUAAGUCACUUGACGAGCUUUGGGAACAGAUACAGAAGGCAUGGGAUGAGAUCGACCUGGAGCAGAUCAGGGAUCCCAUAGAUGAGAUGGAACAAAGGCGUGUAGCAGUAUGGAAAGCGAAAGGGAAGUCUACCAAGUAUUAGAUUAUUGUAAAUUAUGCAUAGAAUCUGUCU
rnacentral:sRNA from 1 species